UGCAACCAUGGCUGUAUGGGUCUGGGUUAUGAGGUGUGUGUUUAUGGCUGUAUUGGUCUGGGUUAUGAGGUGUGUGUUUAUGGCUGUAUGGGUCUGGGUUAUGAGGUGUGUGUUUAUGGCUGUAUUGGUCUGGGUUAUGAGGUGUGUGUUUAUGGCUGUAUUGGUCUGGGUUAUGAGGUGUGUGUUUAUGGCUGUAUUGGUCUGGGUUAUGAGGUGUGUGUUUAUGGCUGUAUGGGUCUGGGUUAUGAGGUGUGUGUUUAUGGCUGUAUGGGUCUGGGUUAUGAGGUGUGUGUUUAUGGCUGUAUGGGUCUGGGUUAUGAGGUGUGUAACCAUGGCUGUAUGGGUCUGGGUUAUGAGGUGUGUGUUUAUGGCUGUAUGGGUCUGGGUUAUGAGGUGUGCAACCAUGGCUGUAUGGGUCUGGGUUAUGAGGUGUGUGUUUAUGGCUGUAUUGGUCUGGGUUAUGAGGUGUGUGUUUAUGGCUGUAUUGGUCUGGGUUAUGUGGUGUGUGUUUAUGGCUGUAUUGGUCUGGGUUAUGAGGUGUGUGUUUAUGGCUGUAUGGGUCUGGGUUAUGAGGUGUGUGUUUAUGGCUGUAUUGGUCUGGGUUAUGAGGUGUGUGUUUAUGGCUGUAUUGGUCUGGGUUAUGUGGUGUGUGUUUAUGGCUGUAUUGGUCUGGGUUAUGAGGUGUGUGUUUAUGGCUGUAUUGGUCUGGGUUAUGAGGUGUGUGUUUAUGGCUGUAUUGGUCUGGGAUAUGAGGUGUGUGUUUAUGGCUUUUUGGAAGUUGGAGAAUUUUGCCUGUAACACCCUAAACAGCUUCUAGAGCCAUAAUCAUUAUGCCUAAUUCUAUCAACCCCAAGGAAAUCUAUGCAUAUUUUUCUGCAUAGGUUAUAUUUAAGCAAUAAGGCCAGAGGGAGUGUGGUAUAUGGCCAAUGUACCUGGAUACAGCCCUUAGCCGUGGCAUAUUGCCCAUAUACCACAAACCCCUGAGGUGCCUUAUUGCUAUUAUAAACUGGUUACCAACGUAAUUAGAGCAGUACAAAUAUUUUUGGGUCAUACCCAUGGUGGCUUUCAGCCAAUCAGCAUUCAGGGCUCGAACCAGCCAGUUUAUAAUAGCUAAGAUAGUUGGUCAAGCUACUCUAACUUGAUUGAUAGCCUAAAAUGACUUGUUAGCUGGAUAUGAGGUUGGAAGAUUGGGAACCUUUCUAGCUGGUUAGCUAAAGACAACUUUAUAAAAUUGCUUAGUGGCUAGUAUUACAGAGAAACCACAAAACAUUUGAGUUUUCUUUAUUCAUCAAGAAGUAAUCAAAUGGCUACAGAGCUUGAUCACAUUCAUGAGCCCAUUACCAGAAGCUAAAAUCAAAUCAAAUGCUGUGUGUGUCGCUCUACUCUCUCUCUCUCUCUCCAGUCAGGGUGCCCCCUCUAAUUAUGAUAAAACGUGGGUUAUUAAUUUAACAUCUGACAAAAAAACAGGACAAAUCUGACAGGGCACGUGCCAUUGUGCCUCUAUGUGCAUGACGACACUGUGUGUGUGAUCUUGGCUCCUGGCCCUCGUAGACAAACCUGUGUGUUAGCAUGCUGGUCACAUAUCUCAUCUCAGACACCCCCUCCCCGUGCACACACACACACACACACACACACACACACACACACACACACACACACACACACACACACACACACACACACACACACACACACACACACACACACACACACACACACACACACACACACACACACACACACACACAGACAGCUCUGUAUUACGACCCAGCAGGCACAUCUACCUGCACAGGAAGGAGGGAGGAAAGGAGGGUGGAAGGAUGAAAGGAGAGAAGGAAAGAUGGAGUGAAAUAAUCAUCUUCCAUUUUUUUCCAUACAUAUCUUGGUGUGGAUUUGGUGAGGACGAUGGCAAUGGCAGAAAAUUACAUUAAAUUAAAAAGUGCCCAAUCUUCAAUCAAGUCCUCCCCAAUACCCCCGUGGAUAUUUUAUAUUGUACAUAUUCAAUCCUUUUCUAUACUUUAUAUAUGCUUCUCCUUCCAUGACAUAGACUGACCAGGUGAUCCAGAUGAAAGCUAUGAUACCUGAUUGAUAUCACUUGUAAUAUCCACUUCAAUCAGUGUAGAUGAAGGGGAGGAGACAGGUUAAAGAAGGAUUUUUAAGCCUUGAGACAACUGAAACAUGGAUUGUGUAUGUGUGCCAUUCAGAGGAUGAAUAGGCAAGACAAAAUAUUUAAGUACAUUUGAACAGGGUAUGGUAUUGGGUGCCAGGCACACCAGUUUGUGUCAAGAACUGCAACGCUGCUAGGUUUUUCACACUCAACAGUUUCCCGUGUGUAUCAAGAAUGGUCCACCACCCAAAGGACAUCCAGCCAACUUGACACAACUGUGGGAAGCAUUGGAGUCAACAUGGGCCAGCAUCCCUGUGGAAAGCUUUUGACACUUUGUAGAGUCCAUGCCCCGACAAAUUUAGGUGUUUCUUAAUGUUUGGUAUACUCAGUGUAUACUCAGUGUAUAAUCCUUCCAGAUCAAGACAGUUCCUCUGCCCAGAAGGGGAAGCAUGCCAUACAGAACUCUGCCACCCGAUGGCAGUAGUACUCUAUAGUAUUCCACAAUGAGAGUGAAGCCUGUCCUCUUUGCCUUUACAUAAUGGUAAUUAUGAAUAAGCUAGAAACCCUCAGUCAACACUAUCUGACCAUGCUAGAAAGAAUCAACGUUCUUAGUAAAGUUGUUUUACCUUCCUUAGUAACCCUUUAACGUUUAACUCAUAUUUGGUUGUUAUUUAUGAUAAUGUUACACACACACACUUUGGAUUCAUGGUUCAGGGAAUGGAGAGGCGGGAGAAAGAAAAAGCAUGCACCCCCCUCUCUUUCUCUCCCCCUCCCUCUCUUUCUCCCCCCCUCCCUCUCUUUCUCUCCCCCACCCCUCUUUUUGGAAGUAAUAUAGGUACAGUUUAAACUGAAUGGUGUGUGUCACCAACUCUAGAUUAGGGAAGAGAUUUCCUCUCUCUCUGUCUUUCUCUUCUAACCCAGCGGAAGGUGGAAUAAUCUUUUUGUCAUUCCAGAAUGCAUUUAGAACCGCUACUGUUUAUGAAAAGAAAAAAACAACCAAAGAUUGAUGUCUGUCUGUGUUUUCCUCUCCCUCUGGCACCUUAACUCCCGUGGUGGUAUUACCUACAGUAUAUGAAGAAGGAAUCAUACAAACAGG
rnacentral:lncRNA from 1 species